UGGGGGAUAUUGCGCAAUGGGGGAAACCCUGACGCAGCAACGCCGCGUGAAGGAAGAAGGCCUUCGGGUUGUAAACUUCUUUAAGUGUGGAAGAUAAUGACGGUACACACAGAAUAAGCCACGGCUAACUACGUGCCAGCAGCCGCGGUAAUACGUAGGGGGCAAGCGUUGUUCGGAAUUACUGGGCGUAAAGCGCACGCAGGCGGCGUGACGCGUCAGAAGUGAAAUCCCCGGGCUCAACCUGGGAGCUGCUUUUGAAACGGUCAUGCUUGAAUCAUGGAGAGGGUAGCGGAAUUCCGAGUGUAGAGGUGAAAUUCGUAGAUAUUCGGAAGAACACCGGUGGCGAAGGCGGCUACCUGGCCAUGUAUUGACGCUCAGGUGCGAAAGCGUGGGGAGCAAACA
rnacentral:rRNA from 1 species